ACUGCAUUUGAUACUGCGAGUCUUGAGUGAGGUAGAGGGGGGUGGAAUUCCCGGCGUAAAGGUGAAAUUCGCUCUAUCGGGAGGAGCUCAGAGGCGAAGGCGACCCCCUGGGCCUUUACUGACGCUGAGGUGAUAAAGCUUGGGGAACAAACAGGAUUAGUAACCCCGGGAGUCCACGCCGUAAACGAUGAUUACUAGGUGCGGGGGGUAUAAACUCCCUCCGUGUCGCAGCUUACGCAUUAACUACUCCUCCUGGUAAGUACGGUCGCAUGGCUGAAACUCACAGGACUUGACGGGGGCCCGCACAAACGGUGGAACAUGUGGAUUAAUUAUAUGCUUCCCGAAAAACCUUACCUGGACUUGACAUCCUGAGAAUCUUCCAGAGAUGGAGGAGUGCCCUUCGGGGAACUCAUCGACAGUUUCUGCAUGGCUGCUCUCAGCUUCUUGUCCAGAGAUGUUGGGAUAAGGCCACAACGAGCGCAACCACCUAAACUUUAGUUUGCAACCCAAUAGUGCUGAACACUCUAAGAGGACUGGCUGGGUUUACCAUGAGGAAGGUGGGGAACGACAUCAACUCAUCCUGGCCUUUUUGCCAGGACUACACACGUGCUACGAUGGUCGGUACAAAGGGCGCACAAUCGUGUGAUCACUCAAAUCCCAUAAUGACCGGUCUCAAUUCGGAUUGGAAUCCGGUACCUCAA
rnacentral:rRNA from 1 species